GAUGAACGCUGGCGGCGUGCCUAAUACAUGCAAGUCGAGCGAACAGAUGAGGAGCUUGCUCCUCUGACGUUAGCGGCGGACGGGUGAGUAACACGUGGAUAACCUACCUAUAAGACUGGGAUAACUUCGGGAAACCGGAGCUAAUACCGGAUAAUAUAUUGAACCGCAUGGUUCAAUAGUGAAAGACGGUUUUGCUGUCACUUAUAGAUGGAUCCGCGCCGCAUUAGCUAGUUGGUAAGGUAACGGCUUACCAAGGCAACGAUGCGUAGCCGACCUGAGAGGGUGAUCGGCCACACGGGAACGGAGACACGGUCCAGACUCCUACGGGAGGCAGCAGUAGGGAAUCUUCCGCAAUGGGCGAAGGCCUGACGGAGCAACGCCGCGUGAGUGAUGAAGGUCUUCGGAUCGUAAAACUCUGUUAUUAGGGAAGAACAAAUGUGUAAGUAACUAUGCACGUCUUGACGGUACCUAAUCAGAAAGCCACGGCUAACUACGUG
rnacentral:rRNA from 1 species